CUGCUGCUCCUCGCUGAUCUUCUGCUUCAGUUUCUUGAACAUGGUGCAGCCGGGGUCCCGGAGGGUGACGGAGCCGAGCGAGGAAAUCUUCACCACUCAAAAGACUGAAAUUCAUGAAUCCCCUUAUACUUCCAGCUGCAGAUGCUCGACAAGCUUCCUCACUCGGGCAUUCACAAGUUUUAUAGAAGAUUGCCAAUUUUAUACUUACAUGUAUGUGUGCGUGCAUUUGUGUGUCUACAUCUACAUACAUGAGGAUCCUAUCAAAACACAGUAUGAUAAAUAAAACAUUACUAAGAAGGGCUGGAAAUAUGGCUCAGCCAUUAAA